GAUGAAGAACGUAGCGAAAUUCGAUACUUGGUGUGAAUUGCAGAAUCCCGUGAACCAUCGAGUCUUUGAACGCAAGUUGCGCCCGAAGCCAUUAGGCCGAGGGCACGCCUGCCUGGGCGUCACACGUCGUUGCCCCCCCAUCUACUCCUUCGGGAUUGCGGGGGGCGGAUGAUGGCCUCCCGUGCGCCUCGUCGCGCGGUUGGCAUAAAUGCCAAGUCCUCGGCGACGCACGCCACGACAAUCGGUGGUUGCGAAACCUCGGUUGCCCGUCGUGUGCGGUCGUCGCGCAUCGAGGGCUCGAAAAAAUUGUCGGGCUCCGGCUCGGCUUUCAACGCGACCCCAGGUCAGGCGGGGUUACCCGCUGAAUUUAAGCAUAUCAAUAAGCGGAGGA
rnacentral:misc_RNA from 1 species